ACAGAUUUACUGUAUAUUUGACUCGGUUCUCACCCUUUACUAUUGUCCAACGGGCAAUUUAAUUUGUUCAUGGAAGACUAUUGCAAGAAGCUGACAGAUGCUGAAUACCCAACCUCGAAUUGUAUUGACAUAGCGCACAGAACCUUUAAUGGAGUAAUAUCGAUCCGACUGGUGAUGGAGAUUCUUCAUAUCAUCUUUAGCUUCCUCCUCAUCCGGGCAUCAGAACGAAAAAUCCACGUCUGAUGGUUCCCUACCUGGUGAUGAUGUUGAUUGCUAUCGUCUUGUUGACACUGUCUGCUGCAUUCAUAGUAGUAGUACUCAUGCUUUUGAGCGUCAGGAUUGGUAUGGUACUGGCAAUCAUCUUGGAGGAGUUAUUUUCAUCAUGACUACUUCAACCUCGUGGUUCGAGCCUAUUACAAGGAGAUAAAUGGACCUGUA